rnacentral:rRNA from 1 species
AACGAACGCUGGCGGCAGGCUUAACACAUGCAAGUCGAGCGCCCCGCAAGGGGAGCGGCAGACGGGUGAGUAACACGUGGGAAUCUACCCAUCCCUACGGAACAACUCCGGGAAACUGGAGCUAAUACCGUAUACGCCCUUUGGGGGAAAGAUUUAUCGGGGAUGGAUGAGCCGGCGUCGGCUUAGCUAGUUGGUGGGGUAAAGGCCUACCAAGGCGACGAUCCGUAGCUGGUCUGAGAGGAUGAUCAGCCACACUGGGACUGAGACACGGCCCAGACUCCUACGGGAGGCAGCAGUGGGGAAUAUUGGAAAAUGGGCGCAAGCCUGAUCCAGCCAUGACGCGUGAGUGAUGAAGGCCUUAGGGUUGUAAAGCUCUUUCGCCAGGGACGAUAAUGACGGUACCUGGAUAAGAAGCCCCGGCUAACUUCGUGCCAGCCGCCGCCGUAAGAC